AAAAGGAAUGCGCCCGUUUUUCGCCGUAAAUGUUGCUGCCCAAUUUUGGAUCGAGAAUUAAGUGCGACGAAGAUGGCCAUUAAUAAUAGUUCUACUACUUUAAGAACACGGUUCAGAUUUGGAUAACGACUUCGAAGGCAUUCGCAGGAGACCAAACAGAGAAAGAGAGGGAGACACAAAACCACCUGUCUCGGUGUCACACAUGAGGAGUUGAGGAGGAGAUGAAGUCAGUGAAUGUGACCAGAAGAAGGCCCAGAAUCGCUGGAUGCCAGGAGUGGAGAUCCUUCGUUGCUGCCCUACAUGAUAGGAGGCAUCGGGCAGUAGAUGCUGUAAUUUGAAACGGAAGGUGUCCUGCCAAUAAAUUUUCAUCCCACCUGAACUGCCUUGCCUGCUUGCACCCAGUCAUCUGUUCCUGAGCAUUUUCAUUUUCCUCUAUUUUUCAUCAUCGUUUGUUUCGGCCUGUAUGAAGUGAAUUUCACAUUGAUUGGUGGAGCUGCUAAGUUGGCAUUACAGGGCCACGCCGGGGUAUGAUCCUUUGGGUUGAACAUCAUGACUGCUAGUUGGUCGGCAAAGGUGAUGGGAUCGAUCAAUGUCACAUGGAGUAUUAAAGAUCGAUACCAAUCUGCUUUGCUACAUUUCGAACAAUCUCAUACGGAUACGGAUAUUAUUGCGACAGUACUGCUCGAUGUGGUCAAGCCUAUUUGACAAAGCAUUAUGGUGUUAGUCAUGUUAUCAGAAACCGAUUUUUCAAAAUCACGGAGUUGCUUCAAUUUAGUAUCGAUAGAUAUUUCAAGAACGUGUAGACUAGUGAGCUUUUCAUCAAGAAUUUCACGCAAUUUAUUUUCGCGCUUAUCCAUGUCAUCAUUGAGUUUUUGUCUCUCGCGUUCCAUUGCCACGGCCACCGCUCUUUGAACGACUGUAUCAAUAUGAUCUAGGUAUGCUGGGCUUUGUUUAGAUCCAGUUAAUGAUGAAGCAGAGGAUUGUGUACAUGCGUUAGCCGAGUGCAAGCGGCCUCUUGAUCUGGUGGAUAUCUUAGACAUGUUAGAGAUUACGUAAUGAUAUAAUUGAAAAGUGGGAUGGGCUGUGCAUCUGCCAACUCACCAGUCAACCAAUUAGAGACGGCCUUCCAAAGUGACACAGCACGAAAAUAUCAAUAUGGGACUGGUCUAGUCAACACAUAGAUCCUGAAAAAACCAUGGAGACCGCAGACGCAAAAUGACUUCCAUACAUAAAGAUAUGAUGCACAAUUUCCAGUGGGUUCAAAACACUGAACACAUGCUAUGCUGAUACACAGACUAUCAUAUUAAAGAACUUUAUCAAGCAAAGGAAAUCUCAAAUCUGGUAUGAAAUCUCUCAGCUCACAUAAAAAGCCUACGUAGCUACAUGUAGGGAAGAAAAUGCGUAAUUGCUGAGAAAUGAGUAAAAUAAGCAUGUAAUUCUAUCAGGUAUUUUUCGAAUCGAUUAUAAUACACUGUCCCACAUAUGCUUUUCUGUGUUUACAGCGAUCAUCAGAAUUAUCGAUUUUAAGUUUAAAAAUUCAUGAUUUUACAAAGAUACAAGUUUACAUUAAUGUACCAGAUGUAGAUUAUGUACAAUAUAUUGACAAUGAACUUUGAUUUUAUAGAUUUUCUCAAGAAAUAAUUGUUUGCUGCAACUACUGUCUUUUCCUUCUAAGUGAUAGUGUAAUACAACAGUUCCACAAACUAUUUUCAUCAGACUUAUUGAUGCAUGAUUCUUUCACCCAAAUGCAAGCUUCCAUAAAUCCUGAAAACUUUGCAACUCAGGUAUUUUUUUUUUUUA